UGUUAACAUUAACAAACAGCCUGAUCAAACACAAUAUGACAGAAUGAUGGACAAUUUAACAUUAACUUGUAAAGGAAGUGGAAAGCCUGAACCGACAUACGUAUGGUUUAAAAAAGGACAACAAGAGAAAAAUACUUUCAAGAACAAAUCUUUAUGUUAUUGAUGAUGUUAUACGAAAUAACAGUGGAGUAUACAUCUGUGAAGCUUCCAACAUUAUAGACAACGUAGAGUACAGAAUGAAUUACUCAGUGGACAUUGAUAUAGUUGAUGAGUUGGUGUCUUCAUGUGAAUCAGAUUCGUCGAAUAUUUUAUUGGAACAUCUAGCAUAUGUGAUCCCUUUAGUAUGUGUAGUUUGUAUCGUCGUGUUAAUAUAUUGCUGUAAGAAGGCAUCCAUUAGGACUAAAAAAGAAUGCUUCAGAUCAAACUGUAGUUUAUGCCAAAAUUUGUGAUCAAGCAGACACGAAAAAUGAAAUAUCAAAACCUGAGAUAAGUAUAUUAAAGAUCAAAAGUGAUAUAUAUUUAACAUUCCUGAAUAUUUAUUUCAUGACUGAGUUGUUCGAAUAUUGAAGUAUAAUUUUCCAGCAGAUUGUCGGCAUUCCUAUGGAAACCAACUGUUCACCUCUCCUGGUCGACUUUAUUUUAUAGAGUUUCUUUUAGUCGUUUGACGUUUUACGUGGCAUGGUAUUUAUGCAUUCCGUCGUCGUUUUUUUUUUUUACUUUGGGCAUUCCUAGUACAGGUGGAUCAUGAGGUGCGAUUCGGACACAAAGGGUUUUAUAGUGUUGUUUCUUUUUUAUUAACCAUUGAUAUUAACUUAAUUUUAACUUUGUGUCUGUUUGUGUUGCUUUCCCAAUUGUGUCGAUAUAACGGAACUACAAACAACUAUCAUACAUAUCAUAUGGGAGAUUUAGCUAUCAAUAAAAUCAGGUUAAACCCACCAUUUUCUUCUGAAAUAUCUGUACCAAUUAGGGAAUAUGACAGUUGUUAUCACAUGUUUCGUAGCAUUUGAUAGCAUUUGAUUUUGUCAGUUUUUAAGGACUUCAAUUUUUAUAAUUUGCCUUUGAGUUUAGUAUUUUUUGUUAUAUUUUUUUUAUCGUAUUUUAACUUAUCAUAUGUGACGAUGUUGCAACUAACAUUUUCAUAUUUUAAAGAGCUACACGGAUUUAUAAUCUGUUUUAGUGGUGUUCACCAACUAUGGACCCUGUCAUUGAUAACUACAGAGUACCAUUUGAUAUAGACUACAUUUCUUGUCUGGUACAUAUGGUGAUGUUGAAGUUGUCAAAAUGUUUGAACACCUAAAUGUAUUUGGCCAUUUGGACAGACAGGAUCUGUGAAGAAGUCGGAUCGAAAUUAUGGAACUUUCCAACAAAGACUUUGACUUUACUAAGCCUGUGAUCUGCAUAAUUCGCUGUAUCAAAAAACAUUUUGUUUUAUGAAUAGGAUCAUUUUUUACAGAUGAACAAAUUGUUUAAAUCCUAUCUUUAGUUACCAUUAUCUGUGGUAGUAAUGUAUAUAUAUAUCUGUUGUCAUAAUCAGCGAUCUGCGGGUAACCUCAUUUUUCAGUUAGCAUUACUUAUGGUGUUGUGUUUAAUUAUAUAUCACUGACAAUUCGGUUGCCAGCAAUUUGCGGUACCAACAUAUAUUGAAUCAGUAUACACAAUAUGUAGACAUUUUGAGAAUGAUAAUAUUAAAGGCUGUGGCCAAAU